rnacentral:rRNA from 1 species
UACGUAGGGUGCAAGCGUUAAUCGGAAUUACUGGGCGUAAAGCGUGCGUAGACGGUUAUUUAAGUCGGGUGUGAAAGCCCCGGGCUCAACCUGGGAAUUGCAUUCGAGACUGAAUAGCUAGGGUACGGUAGAGGGAAGCGGAAUUUCCGGUGUAGCGGUGAAAUGCGCAGAUAUCAGGAGGAACACCAAUUGCGAAGGCAGCUCGCUGGGACGUUACUGACGCUGAGACGCGAAAGCGUGGGGAGCAAACAGG